rfam:Clostridium magnum DSM 2767 CLMAG_contig000007, whole genome shotgun sequence.
GAAGCCUACAUGGCAAAGUUUAGCCAACAGCCAUUAGCGAGUCUUGGGCUCUUUGGGGUGACCCAAGGAGUCAAGCGUAGACAGUUAACUAGUGGGUCAUAAACCGAGAGAGGUUGAAGCUAGUAGCUCCGAAAUCCCAGUGGGUAAAGUCGAUAUGUUGGUCUGUAUAGAAGACAGCACUGAUAUAAUCAUUACUGGCAAGAGGAUAUCAGUUUACCCGGAGUCGUAGAGCA